GAGCACGCCGCGUGAGGGAUGAAGGCCUCUGGGCUGUAAACCUCUUUUAUCAAGGAAGAAGAUCUGACGGUACUUGAUGAAUAAGCCACGGCUAAUUCCGUGCCAGCAGCCGCGGUAAUACGGGAGUGGCAAGCGUUAUCCGGAAUUAUUGGGCGUAAAGCGUCCGCAGGCGGUUUUACAAGUCUGUUGUUAAAACGUGGAGCUCAACUCCAUUUCGGCGAUGGAAACUGUAAGACUAGAGUGUGGUAGGGGCAGAGGGAAUUCCCGGUGUAGCGGUGAAAUGCGUAGAUAUCGGGAAGAACACCAGUGGCGAAGGCGCUCUGCUGGGCCAUAACUGACGCUCAUGGACAAAAGCCAGGGGAGCGAAAGGGAUUAGAUACCCCUGUAGUCCUGGCCGUAAACGAUGAACACUAGGUGUCGGGGGAAUCGACCCCCUCGGUGUCGUAGCCAACGCGUUAAGUGUUCCGCCUGGGGAGUACGCACGCAAGUGUGAAACUCAAAGGAAUUGACGGGGGCCCGCACAAGCGGUGGAGUAUGUGGUUUAAUUCGAUGCAACGCGAAGAACCUUACCAGGGUUUGACAUCCUGCGAAUUCCUUGGAAACUUGGAAGUGCCUUCGGGAGCGCAGUGACAGGUGGUGCAUGGCUGUCGUCAGCUCGUGUCGUGAGAUGUUGGGUUAAGUCCCGCAACGAGCGCAACCCACGUCUUUAGUUGCCAGCAUUAAGUUGGGCACUCUAGAGAGACCGCCGGUGAUAAACCGGAGGAAGGUGUGGAUGACGUCAAGUCAUCAUGCCCCUUACAUCCUGGGCUACACACGUACUACAAUGCUACGGACAAAGGGCAGCAAACUCGCGAGAGCUAGCAAAUCCCAUAAACCGUGGCUCAGUUCAGAUCGUAGGCUGCAACUCGCCUACGUGAAGGAGGAAUCGCUAGUAAUCGCAGGUCAGCAUACUGCGGUGAAUACGUUCCCGGGCCUUGUACACACCGCCCGUCACACCAUGGAAGUUGGCCACGCCCGAAGUCGUUACUCCAACCCUUGUGGAGGAGGAUGCCGAAGGUGGGGCUGAUGACUGGGGUGAAGUCGUAACAAGGUAGCCGUACCGGAAGGUG
rnacentral:rRNA from 1 species